rnacentral:siRNA from 1 species
AUCAAAACUCAUGAAAGGGAUCUC